UACGAAGGGGGGCUAGCGUUGCUCGGAAUCACUGGGCGUAAAGCGCACGUAGGCGGCUCUUUAAGUCAGGGGUGAAAUCCUGGAGCUCAACUCCAGAACUGCCCUUGAUACUGGGAAGCUUGAGUCCGGGAGAGGUGAGUGGAACUCCGAGUGUAGAGGUGAAAUUCGUAGAUAUUCGCAAGAACACCAGUGGCGAAGGCGGCUGACUGGUCCGGUUCUGACGCUGAGGCGCGAAAGCGUGGGGAGCAAACAGG
rnacentral:rRNA from 1 species